rnacentral:rRNA from 1 species
GUGGGGAAUCUUGUGCAAUGGGCGAAAGCCUGACGCAGCCAUGCCGCGUGAAUGAUGAAGGUCUUAGGAUUGUAAAAUUCUUUCACCGGGGACGAUAAUGACGGUACCCGGAGAAGAAGCUCCGGCUAACUUCGUGCCAGCAGCCGCGGUAAUACGAAGGGGGCUAGCGUUGCUCGGAAUUACUGGGCGUAAAGGGCGCGUAGGCGGACAGCUUAGUCAGAGGUGAAAGCCCAGGGCUCAACCUUGGAAUUGCCUUUGAUACUGGCUGUCUUGAGUUUGGGAGAGGUGAGUGGAACUCCGAGUGUAGAGGUGAAAUUCGUAGAUAUUCGGAAGAACACCAGUGGCGAAGGCGACUCACUGGCCCAAUACUGACGCUGAGGCGCGAAAGCGUGGGGAGCAAACAGGAUUAGAAACCCCGGUAGUCC